rnacentral:lncRNA from 1 species
GAGAAAAUACUGCCACAAGCUCAGUGCCACAGGACUCUUAGCUCAGCUGUAUAUAAUGCCACAGUCCCAAACCACAGUGACUUCGAGUUUACGUUUUUCUCAUGUAAAAGAAGUCUGAGGAGGUCUGAUGUUACAGUUUCACCGAGUCAGAGCCUGGGGUUUCUUCUGUCUUCAGCAAUGCCUUCCUCGUGAGGCACUUCAUGGUUCACAGUGGCCCCCAGGAUCACCUGGGGGGGCUCUGAGAGCAGAGCCAAAGGGCUCACUGCCUAUCUUCUAUCCCCAUCAUUCACCCUGCAGAUCUGACAAUCACAUAAUCCAGUCCAGAGGUGGAGAGGCUGCUCGGAGCCUUGCUGGGAGCCAGCCUGGGACUCAGCAAGUAUGUAGCAUGUGGCUGGCAGCAUAAAGGGCCCCCACAGUACACCUGUACUUCUUCAGAAAUGUUCCCCACACCUGCAAUGACUUCUUCAGUGUCUAUCGCCUUCUCUUUAGAUGACACAUUCUGCGAGCCUGGAGCAGCUAACAAACAGCAGAACAAGUGGGACAGAUUUUAGACGUGAGUGCCAAGACAAUUCAACGGGAGAAAAGAUUAAUCUUCUCUACAAAUGGUGUUGGGACAACUGGAUAUGCACAUGCUAAAGAAUGAAGUUGAAUCCCUUCCUUACACCAUACACAAAAAUUAACUCAGAAUGGAUCAUAGACCUAAGGUAAGAGCUAA